rnacentral:rRNA from 1 species
UCCUACGGGGCGCAGCAGUGGGGAAUAUUGGACAAUGGGGGGAACCCUGAUCCAGCGACGCCGCGUGAGUGAAGAAGUAUUUCGGUAUGUAAAGCUCUAUCAGCAGGGAAGAAAGAAAUGACGGUACCUGACUAAGAAGCCCCGGCUAACUACGUGCCAGCAGCCGCGGUAAUACGUAGGGGGCAAGCGUUAUCCGGAUUUACUGGGUGUAAAGGGAGCGUAGACGGCAGUGCAAGUCUGAAGUGAAAUCCGGGGGCUCAACCCCCGAACUGCAUUUGAAACUGUUGGUCUUGAGUAUCGGAGAG